AUUGAACGCUGGCGGCAGGCCUAACACAUGCAAGUCGAACGGUAGCACAGAGAGCUUGCUCUCGGGUGACGAGUGGCGGACGGGUGAGUAAUGUCUGGGAAACUGCCUGAUGGAGGGGGAUAACUACUGGAAACGGUAGCUAAUACCGCAUAACGUCGCAAGACCAAAGAGGGGGACCUUCGGGCCUCUUGCCAUCAGAUGUGCCCAGAUGGGAUUAGCUAGUAGGUGGGGUAACGGCUCACCUAGGCGACGAUCCCUAGCUGGUCUGAGAGGAUGACCAGCCACACUGGAACUGAGACACGGUCCAGACUCCUACGGGAGGCAGCAGUGGGGAAUAUUGCACAAUGGGCGCAAGCCUGAUGCAGCCAUGCCGCGUGUAUGAAGAAGGCCUUCGGGUUGUAAAGUACUUUCAGCGGGGAGGAAGGCGAUAAGGUUAAUAACCUUGUCGAUUGACGUUACCCGCAGAAGAAGCACCGGCUAACUCCGUGCCAGCCGCCGCGGUAA
rnacentral:rRNA from 1 species